CGCAUCCCCCAAAACUAGGGUUUAUUGAUUCCAACCAUCUCUUCAUUUUCUUUGUGAUUUUUGUUUGUUUGUUUCCAAUGCUAUGGAAUCAAUUGCAUAUUGAUAUCAAUUCCAAUUCGUGUUUCCCUAUCCAGGCAAAAGAAAAAUAAAAAUAAAAAACCCUAACGAGCUUGAUCCAGGGGGCGUCAAUGGCGGAGCACUUGGCUUCCAUCUUUGGCACCGAAAAGGACCGCGUGAACUGUCCGUUCUAUUUCAAGAUCGGUGCUUGUCGUCACGGAGAUCGAUGCUCGCGCCUCCACAAUCGCCCCACGAUCUCCCCAACGCUUCUCCUCUCCAACAUGUAUCAGCGUCCCGACAUGAUUACUCCAGGUGUAGACGCUCAAGGCCAGCCUAUUGAUCCCAGGAAGAUUCAGGAACACUUUGAGGACUUCUACGAGGAUAUCUUUGAAGAGCUCGGCAAGUUCGGCGAGAUCGAGAGUCUCAAUGUUUGUGAUAACCUGGCCGAUCACAUGAUCGGUAAUGUUUAUGUUCAGUUCAAGGAGGAGGAGCAGGCGGCCGCUGCUUUGCAAGCUUUGCAGGGGCGGUUCUACUCCGGCCGCCCUAUCAUUGCGGAUUUUUCUCCCGUUACCGACUUUCGCGAAGCAACGUGUCGCCAAUUUGAGGAGAACAAUUGCAACCGAGGGGGUUACUGUAAUUUUAUGCAUGUGAAGCUUAUUGGAAGGGAUUUGAGGAGGAAGCUAUUUGGGAGGUACAGCGGAUAUGGGAGAAGUCGAAGCCGGAGCAGGAGUUUGAGUCCACGUUACCGGAGGGAUUCUGAUAGGCGAAGGAGCGGGGACCGUGGAGAUUACCGAGGAAAUGGGCGACGGAGCGAGGAUAAGCACGGGAGUGAUGGGGGUCGAAGAAGACAUGGCAGUCCCAGGCGGAGCAGGAGUCUGGUGAGAGAAGGGAGUGAGGAGCGCAGAGCGAGGAUUGAGCUGUGGAAUCGAGAAAGAGAGGAAAGGCAGUGAAGUCAUUUUUCUCGUCCUUUGUUUGGGGCUGGCUCUGGCAUUUUUCUUCUCUUAUUGGGCCUGUCUGGGAAGCCCUGAAAUCGGGCUACUGAACAUGAAGUUGGUCAGAAAACAUUCCAAGCUGUCUGGUUAGUGUAUCAACCAUGCUCCUUGGUUCUAUCACUUUAAAAUAACAGGUGCUUUGGCAGGGAAAGUGAAAUAGAUGUGCAAAUAUGUUUUUGGUUGUUUUUGUUUUGUAGGUAAUAUGCUUUUUCUUGUUCCGAAAAUCAAAUCUUGAACUUCUACAUUUCCAAUCCAACGCCUUGCCACCACUUGAGCCAAGCCUCAAGGUCAAUCAUGUUUUUUGCUGUUUGAAACAAUCAAAUAAGGUUUUCAAAACAUUGGCAUGAUUUCCUGUCUCUGAAGAAACAGGGAAAUCGACAAUCUGACCAGAUGGAUUAAACUAGCUUCCUGGCAUUUUUGCUGGUUAGCUAGGUUUGCCCAUCCCAUAAAGAAAGAAAUCCUCUUGUAUCUUUACUUUUUCAUUGGGCAGCAAAUUUUCUAAAUUUGGUAAAAAAAAAAAUAUCAAUCAGGCAAGAUGUUUCUUCUUUUCCAUGUUAGUGUGAUAGGGAAGGCUAUACUGGUUUCUGUGAUGCUAUUCUCCCAAGUAUUUCCUGCCCUGGAAGGUAGGAUUUAGUUCGAGCCAUUAGUCUCCUGGCUAGGACAUGCUCUAUUUUGAGAUGGUGACUUGAUAAAUUUUUAGCUUUUGCUGAUACUAAAUCUACAGAUAGGUGAUUUAUAUCUCUUGUGGGUGGUCUCUAGCAAGCAUCUCAGGGGAAAGCUUAUUGAUCUUUUAACAUGUUUGAUCUUAAAAGUUGAUUGAUUAAGGUUGGAGGCCAGAGUGCAGGAACUCAUUUGCAAGUUUUUCCCCAAAGUUAUAGUGAAGAUUCCUUCUGUGUACAAACCAUUCCUCAGAAGUGUGGAGGAGAAUUAGGCACUAAGCCUACCAUGCCUGCGUUUUGAACUGAUUCUCUAACCUUUGGAUAUGCGUUCAUUUUAAUUGAUUUCAAGAUUCAUUGAUAUAUCCUGACAAAUCUUGGAAAUUGUAGGGAAGGUAAAAUACCUUGCAGGUCUUUAAGCUUUUAGUUAUGGGUUCUCUGGACGCUGCCGCAUUCCAAACAGGAGGGACAGGUAUUUAUGAAGACAGAUUUUAGCGGGGUCAGUUGAGGAGACGUAGAUUGGAGUACAGAUCCCUGCCCUAUUUCUUGGAUGAAUAUGCAUUAAAUCCAAACAUUUUGGACAUUUAAUUGUCAUUUGCCAUCAAAAAGAUGGUCGUCUACCCCUCUUUUAAAAGUGAUGGGAAAAAUGGUACUGCUAGGUAAUAUAAUAAACUGGCCCGUCAUAAUCAAAUUUUAAAGUCUCUUUGUAGGAAUGUACUAUUACUUGGACGCAAGUUUCUAGUAUGUGCAAGGAAUAAUGUCAAAGGUUUCUUAGAAUUUUAUUUGAUAUAA